GUUUUCUUGUAUGUAGCAUUUUCCAAACUUCACCAAGGAAUUGGGAGGCAUGGCUGUGAAAUUCUUAACUUACUAUCUUAUGAAGCCAGUAAACUGUUUGUUGCUAGAUAGCCUCAUUUAUAAAUCUAAUUGAAAAUAAGUCUGUCUCCUAGAACACAGAAGGAAAAUGUUAUACCCUGGAUUUUCAAGGGCCAUUGAGAAAUAAUACUGAAUUAACAGCCAUGGUUCCGACUUGUGUGAGUGACUUAAAGUAAUAAAAAAAAAAUAACUGUAAGACUAGGCAAAUGCAUAUUUAGGAAUACUGAAAUGUUAGAGAAGAAAUGAAUACAAUUGCCUUGGGGAAAAAAUAGAUCUUCUUGGUCCUACAAAUCAGGAAUGGUGUAGAGACAUCCAAAUCAAAACAAAACAAAACAGAAUGUUAAAAAAUAUAUGCAGAUUUAUGGAUGUUAUCAAUGAGAAGACUUAGCAUGUUACUUCUCCUAUAGCUCUUCCGUCCAGCAUGUAUUGUUCCAAAUACUCCCUAAAAUAUACACUUUGCAGAAUCUCUAGGCCCUCACUUUAAUGACCUUGUCAUUGGUUGCUGUAUUCUUUCAAAGUCACUGUAAUUUCCCUCACUCCACACAAUCAUUAGUGGUCGGUGUCCUUCACCAAGUAUUCUAUUUCUCUUAUCAGGAGGUGAGCAGAAAAUGAAAUGAAGGAAUUCGUGUAAUCAGUUGCAAAGAAUAAAAGUUAUGCAUCUCGGCAAGGAUUUUGAACACACGUCUGCAAGGGAUAUUUGUUUAAUCAAAAUAUUUGAAAAGUAAGAAAUAAAGACAUUUAAAUUAAAUAAAAGAAUGUUAUUCUUCUAGGAAAAGAAUGCCCUUGUAAAAAGAAAUACAGCUCUAGUUCUAUUUCUCCUUGUCACUCUUGAUUCAACUUGAUUAUAAACACACCUGUCACUUCCAGGACCAAUCAAAUUAUAAGCACAAAGUCUUAUUAUUUUUUUUGAAAAAAUAAAAAGGAAGCUUCU
rnacentral:lncRNA from 1 species